AUGGCCAACUCAAAUGAUCUAUGGGAGAAGAAGCUGCAGGAUCCAAGUGCAACACCAGUGCCUCUGCCAUUUGAAUUUCUGAGAGCCAUCACAUGUGAUUUUUCCAGCGAGCAGGAACUCGGAAGAGGUGAGCAUGGAGUGGUUUACAAGGGAGUUCUUCCGAGUGGAAAAUUUAUUGCCGUGAAGAAGCUUUUUCAAACACAUCUGAUGGAUGAUAAGAAAUUCCAGAAUGAGCUCAGUUCUCUUAUGGGGAUCAAGCACCAAAAUGUAGUGCAGCUUAUUGGUUACUGUGCUGAAACAAGCUUUGAAAUGGUGAACCUCCAAGGUAGUGGGAAACAUAUUAUGGAUGAAAUACCAAAGAGAUUGCUUUGCUUUGAAUAUGUAGGCAACAAAAGCCUUCAUUACUACGUCUCAGAUGGUACUUUUGACCUUGAGUGGGAUAUGAGAUAUGAAAUAAUAAGGGGUAUUUGCGAUGGUUUGCAUUACCUUCAUGAGAAAUGCCGUACUGUUCAUCUCGACCUGAAACCUGGAAACAUAUUGAUGGAUGCUACUAUGGUUCCAAAUAUAGCGGAUUUUGGUUUAUCAAGGAUCUUUGGUGACAAGCAAUCCCGAAUCAUCACUGAAAAUCGUCCAGGAACACUCGGAUAUAUGGCCCCAGAAUACUCCUUUCAAGGCGUAGUCUCCAUGAAGGCAGAUAUAUUCAGUUUGGGUAUUAUAAUGAUUGAGAUAGUCACAGGUCGUAGAGACUAUCCCCUGACUGCUAUUCCAUAUAUGGAGCACUUCAAUCAAGACGGCAGUUUCCAGAGUACUGACACGUCCUUCGAACACUACUACAAAGAGAAAAUAAGAUUAAGUACUCAGGCUCUUGCAAAUAUAUAUCAUGCUUGGAGGAAUAGGCUGGAGAAGUCACAGGGAGUCACAGAAAAAUUGGAACAAAUUCGUGCGUGCGUUGAAUUAGGACAAGAAUGCACUGAAAUCAGCCCAUAA
rnacentral:rRNA from 1 species